ACUCAAAAGAUAGCUCGGUUGGUAGAGCAUUAGACUCAUAAUUGCAGGGUUCUGGGUUCGAGUGCCACGCUGGGCA